GUGUCAGCCGCCGCGGUAAUACGGGGGGGACAAGCGUUGUUCGGAUUUACUGGGCGUAAAGGGCGCGUAGGCGGGCCUUCAAGUCGGAUGUGAAACCUGGCGGCUUAACCACCAGCCUGCAUUCGAUACUGUCGGUCUUGAGUAUGGGAGAGGAGAAUGGAAUUUCAGGUGUAGCGGUGAAAUGCGUAGAUAUCUGAAAGAACACCAGUAGCGAAGGCGGUUCUCUGGACCAAUACUGACGCUAAAGCGCGAAGGCUUGGGGAGCAAACAGGAUUAGAAACCCCUGUAGUCC
rnacentral:rRNA from 1 species